AAAGAGGCAGUGCUCUGAGGAGGUGCCCAUGAGAAACACCAAGAAGUUGAAUAACUUGGGUUGUUUGAGCUGAAGUGCUUCAGAAAAUGAGUGUGAAACGUAACUGCGGUCUGAGAAAAUGCAUGAAAACUCAGAAGGGAAGAAAAGAUAAAAAGAACUCGUUUGGAUCUGCAAUACUUUUUCUGCAUCAUCUCAUUUUCAGCUGGCAUCAGCCUCUCCAAAAAGAUUGAAAAGCUGGCCUCGCCGCAGAUGCCAUUGCAGAGUGAUGCUGCUGGGUGAUGCUUUGUGGAGCUGGGGAUUGAGGGAGAGGAAAAUGCUGUCGUGUAGGACAUAAAUACAUGUGAGGGUGGCAGAAGUUUGAGCCUCCAUAUCCUCGAAGGUCACUCUUAAGGAAGUGUGAAAUCUGGCAUCAGAAUUUAGGACGGAAUUUAUUCUUGUGCUAAAUGUCUGCAUCAGAAUUUCUGGAUUUUCAGUACUCCCUGGAGGAUCUUUAAUUAUCCCUGAGAAGCCUUAAUGAUGGAGAUCCUCCUCCCACUGUGGGACAAGGGUAUGGAGCUCUGUCAGUGCUUCCCAAACCUCCUGGAAACUUCAGGCACUAAGACUAAUUGUUGUUAAA